rnacentral:lncRNA from 1 species
GGGGGGCCCGGAGUGAGCGGCUACAGUUUCUCAGGGUGAUACGGCAGUGGUUAACCAGUUUACGAACCCACGAGGAGGGCAUUAGAGCUACUUGCACAGCACUUCAGAUCUGGCUGACAAGGAAUGCCCGCACUCUCGGUGAGCGCAGGGUGUCACCGAGGUUUGUGGCAGAGCUCGCUCGAGCACAUGCCUCGGAGAUCAGACCCGCCCCUCAUACAGAUAGA